GACGAACGCUGGCGGCGUGCCUAAUACAUGCAAGUUGAGCGCUGAAGGUUGGUACUUGUACCGACUGGAUGAGCAGCGAACGGGUGAGUAACGCGUGGGGAAUCUGCCUUUGAGCGGGGGACAGCAUUUGGAAACGAAUGCUAAUACCGCAUAAAAACUUUAAACACAAGUUUUAAGUUUGAAAGAUGCAAUUGCAUCACUCAAAGAUGAUCCCGCGUUGUAUUAGCUAGUUGGUGAGGUAAAGGCUCACCAAGGCGAUAAUACAUAGCCGACCUGAGAGGGUGAUCGGCCACAUUGGGACUGAGACACGGCCCAAACUCCUACGGGAGGCAGCAGUAGGGAAUCUUCGGCAAUGGACGAAAGUCUGACCGAGCAACGCCGCGUGAGUGAAGAAGGGUUUCGGAUCGUAAAACUCUGUUGGUAGAGAAGAACGUUGGUGAGAGUGGAAAGCUCAUCAAGUGACGGUAACUACCCAGAAAGGGACGGCUAACUACGUG
rnacentral:rRNA from 1 species